UCAAAAAAAAUUAGAUUAGAAUAACGUCUAAUCUUAACGAAACUCUCCACUUUUAUCGAUAGGUGUUAGCAAUUUUUUUUUUGUUUUAUUCAUUCCUAAUGUGCAUACUAGGCGUUAGUACUUACCUUGACAUUAGCCCUAGCAGCUUAUUAGGUGCCUUCAAAAGUCUUUUUCUUUUUUGAGCUGUCAAACUAAGCAGACGCACACCUUAGUACCAGCUACAACAUAUACAUAAAUCAAGUGGGUGAAACACGUGCAAAGUGAUCACAACAAAAUAAAACAAAUUAAAUCUGAAAAAUCCCCACACAUCAUUGGAAAAAUAAGUAAAGCAACGACAUCAGUAAAGUCGCAAACAAACCUAGCCUGGGAUCAGGCGUCUUCUAUGGCCGAAAAUCCACGAGAGUCCCACCCGCACCACCUGGAUUCCAUACCUGGAUCAUUACACAUAGUUUUUAUCAGGAUGAGUAACCCUAUCAAAGAUAAAAAAAAAAAACACCCACUUAGUCUAUCCCGUCUACCUUUAUUCGCAAAUCAAUACUGAUACACCGGAUAGGAGAAAUUUCGGAUAUCACCUAUAAAUAUAAAACGAUAUCAAAGUAUACAAUAGCGAACGAGAGUCGCCUUCCAAUCGUUUAUUACAUUUCGGUUGUUGUUCACAAACACAAAAAUUAAAUUACAUUAAAAUAUUAUGAACUUAUAUUGAACUAGAAAUU